AACAAGCAAACGCACUGAAGCCGGUUGAAAAGAAGCCCCAGUCACGAGAAUUUCUGGCUGAAUUGGUUCUGCUAGAAUCCUGCUAGAAUGAUUCUAGCAGGCCUGUUCGAAUCCUGUUAGCAUUUUGCCAGAAUGUUCUAACAGAAAAAAUCUGUCGAAAAUGACGUCAUUUUCGCCAACCUCGUGGUCAAUCACAUUUUCCUCGGCCAUCUUUCAUUUUUUCGGUGCCUUUAGAGUACAAAAGUUCUUUGUAUUUCACGAGCAACUUUAUUUUUACACAAGGUUCUCAACGGAAAAUGGCCGGAUUGAAGCCCUAUAGAAACUCACCACAAAAGGCAGAAACAGGCAUGUUGCAGUCAUUCAAGGACACAAGAUAGCAGGAGGUGAAGCUGAUGUGUUUUUGUGAAAAGAAAUGAAGAAAUAAAUGAAAUCAAAGUUAUAUUCUGUAAUUGUUUUUUUUAAUGACAGUCAUCAAGAAGAAAAGAA